ensembl:lncRNA
AGACGGAUACAGAAUAGUUAAUUUGUUGAAGUAUUGAAUAAAUGUGUAAAUCUUCUUUGACUUAAACAUCACCGCGCUGACUCUAACUGCACGUGCACGAGCAAUCUCACAGGGUACGAGCAGGAGCCUGCAGGCCAGGGUUAAAGAUAACAGUGAAGGGUUGGGGCCACAUUCCAAUCUUCGGGAGGGAGACGAGCGCUUGGGAAGAGUUCACAUUUGUAGCUUAGAGAUAAUAAAGUAUUUAAACUAACUAGUAGGAUAAACUCAAAUAAAUUAAUAAUUUAAAAUGGCACCAACAGCGGUAGAGAUUUUGAGCAAAAACAAUCCAUUGCUCAGAGAUGAGAUAACAAGGAUCUCUGAGAAAUGGGAGAAAGGAACAGCUAAAACAAGCACGAUAUGGCCCAUGGGAGGGACUUUUGAUCCAAUAAUGUGUAGGGACAUGGAGGUAGUAAUAAGGAACUACAAACCUAACAGAAGUGGAAAAAAGGCCUUAGAGAUGAGAGACAGGGAAAGGUUAGUGCUAGCUUUGUUUGAAAUGGAGGGAGAGAGGUGGAGCGCUUUACAACGAGUGGCCAGAAAAAUAAUCACAAAGGAAGAAGAGGCUCAACCUUUGCCUCUGAAGCUUGAGCCACCGCCGUACAAACCAACUAACAUGCAUCAACUGAUAACAGACAACGUGGAAUUUAAAGGGGAAGUCACACUAGAUGAAGGAGAUAAUAAAUGUAACACACAAGGGAGGGUCAGUGGGGACCCAGGCACAGAGGUGUCUGGCUGCAGUACAUCAAUACAAAGCCCCCUAGUACUCCAGUCACGGGGGAAACUAAGGAGAGCACGAAGGGGAAGAAAGGCACCCGACACCCUCCCAGAAAAAACGUAGAACCACCACUGGGAUCGGUGAUUCUGUGGCUCUUGGAGACUCUCCAACGCGUCGGAGCACCAUAUGGAGAAAGACAGAGUUCCAGAGUUGGAGGAGGAGCCACCAAGGGGGGUGGAGCCAGGUGACCACGUGUAUCUCAGAGUGUUCAGGAGAAAGUGGAACGAGCUCAGGAGAGAAGGACCAUACAAAGUCACCAACGCAACACCAACAGCCAUCCAAGUGGAAGGAAGUGCCACGUGGUAUCAUCUCAACCACUGCACAAAAGCUGCUCAACCCAAAGCCAGAGACAACCAUGAGGAGGAGGAGCCAGACGCAGACAUACGUGGGGCUGACCAGCUGCCCCAGGACCAGAUCCAGUCGAGCCAAGAGAUACAACAGCAUGAUGAUGCUGAAAACGGGGAGCCUGUUUCUGAUCCUUUACGGGUUGUGCCAGAUUUCGCUGGCACAAGCACAGACCCCGAGGAAGGAUGAAACCACGGG